AUGGGCGGCAGGGUCGGGAAGUGGGGAGUGGCGAUGGGGAUCGAAGGCGACGGCGAGGCACGGCCGGGAAGUCCAGUUCGCCGGGUCGCCACCGGGGAAGGCGAGGCGGUCGGCGGCGGCGAGGCAAACGCACGGUCGCCACGCCGCAGAGGGGUGAAGGUGAAGCGGGCCCUGAGGAGGAAGCCCCUGCCUCCCCGCGGCGAGAAGCAGCGGCCGGCUUCUCCGGCCCGGAGCUCGGCGCCGGCGGAGGAGGAGUACAGCCACAGGGAGGAGGACGCCAUCACCAGGAGCCGUCGGAUCUGGGAGAGGCGCUGGGCCGGCCGCUACGGCGCCUUUGACAACGAAACAAGUAUCGGUCCCAUGCGCUACACAUUCAAACCGCUUACCCCAGAAUACCUAUUCACAGAACAGACCGUGCAAAUCUUCUCCAUCAGGGUCAGGGCCCCAACAGAUGGUCUCAGGUGGCCACUGCAUGUCCAUGGCCACAUUGCCACCAGAGACUCGAUGGAUCAGAAUCGCAACUAUCUCUUCAGGCGCACAAGGGAUAACUGCCAAAGCCUCACACAAGACGAUCCAUCCUUGCUGCUAACGGGCCCAUCCCGUGCAAUUGUGUACCUUGCUCCAAUUACAUUUGAAGUCCAGUUAAAAGUAAAGGGCGAAGGAGAGUCUGAAGAUGAGAUGCUGGCUUUCGGUGCCUUCUACUACGACGAUGGGUCUGCUUGUGAACACAAGCUCUCCAUAUGCUACGACCACAAGCGCUGCAUGCUCGAGUACGAAGUGGCGCUGCGGCCACGCUCGGUUGAGGCCACGAUCAGCUUGAAGGUCGUCGAGGGGUCGUGGCCGGAGAACCACCGAGGAAUAGUCGUCGCCAUUACCUCAGGCAUAGACGAGAAGAUUGCACUGCUUCGUUGUCGAGACAGAGAACUUCCCAUCGGUCCGGAUGGUGUGAUCGAGCUCUCGAGGCGGGUUGUUUCCGUGGACUUGGGAGAGAAACUGUUGGUUGCGGUGGACGCAUCUCUGUCCGACUUUCUUGCGCGGGGUACAGCUGUGUUCAAUCCGGUGUGCUCCGGCAUGAGCCAUGGUGUGUGCGACCUUGGUUCCUGCAAGAUUCAAGUCACCGUUGGUUGGUCCCUCUUUGUUAUUGUUGUUUGA
rnacentral:rRNA from 1 species